UACGGGGGGGGCAAGCGUUGUUCGGAAUUACUGGGCGUAAAGGGUCUGUAGGUGGCUUGCUAAGUCAGACGUGAAAUCCCUCAGCUUAACUGGGGAACUGCGUCUGAGACUGGCGAGCUUGAGGGCAGGAGAGGAACGCGGAAUUCCAGGUGUAGCGGUGAAAUGCGUAGAUAUCUGGAGGAACACCGGUGGCGAAGGCGGCGUUCUGGACUGCAUCUGACACUGAGAGACGAAAGCCAGGGGAGCAAACGGG
rnacentral:rRNA from 1 species